AAAAGAUGUUUGUAGUUUGCAGAAUGGAAAGAACCUUGCAGCGAAAAUUAUUUUCACUUCUACGUGAAAAUCUAACCAGAAAACUCACCUGUCAAUUACAAGAUACAGUAUGCCAUUCCAGCUUUGAUAAAUAUAAAGUAAUGGUUUGAAUUUGGAGAGCUUUAUUAUUAUAGACAGGGAUGAUGACCUGCAGUGAGACAGCAGUAGAAAGUUACUUAUAACUCAUCAUGGCCAUUAUGGAAGAUCUGAUUAAAAUUUGUUUAGAAAGCCACCAAAUAUGUCCAUGAAAAGUAGAAAAAAGACAGCAAUUCUACAUAAUGUACUAAGCAGAAGCAUUGACUGUUUCAAGACCAAAUGAAUU